rnacentral:lncRNA from 1 species
UGUCCCAUGCUCCUAUCCUCCCCUUUUCCCAUUUGCAUCAAUUUGGCACAAUCUAGCAAUCAUAUUCAUGAUAAUGCAAUGUUAUAGAUAGAUAAACCUAAAAGAAGUGGUUAUGACAUUUAUUGAACUCAGCCAACUAUGCAUAGUUAAUUGCCAAUGUCUAAGAAGCUACAUUCCAGUAAUAUGCCACAUAUUGUACAGAACCAGAAGUACAUUACCUCCUUAGUACUUAGAGUCUUCAUGGAACGUGUUUUAUCUUGAGCCCGAUAUCGUUUGUAAAAUCUAUAUACAUUAAUAGCAAGAAAAAAAAUAUCAGCAAACCUUCAAGCAUAUGUAUAACCUUGGAAGGGAAAUAAAGAAAAAGAAAAUUUCAUAAAAAAUGGUAAGAAAAACAAAAACACAGUAAAAGGCUCAUGGCAGAUGAUGAANAAUGGGAAAAGGUGUUCAAUGCAAGGAGACCACUAAAUAUCUCNGGGGAAGUACAUUCUAGAAUACAUGCCUGAACAUUGCUACACAAGAUUACACAACAUUUCAUUGACAAAUCUACUUAUAAGGACACCAAUGUUUCAAAUACUAAAGAUUAAACAAAAUGAUUUCUCAGUUAUUAUCUUUCAAACAAAAUCAGCUUGUAAAAAACAAGAAGGCCGCCAUUAUAACCCUACCUCAAAUAUACUUACGAGAGACGCCAAAAAAAUUGAAACGCCCACGAAUGAUGAUGUAAAACCCC